rnacentral:rRNA from 1 species
UACGAAGGGGGCUAGCGUUGCUCGGAAUUACUGGGCGUAAAGCGUGCGUAGGCGGUUUGUUAAGACAGGUGUGAAAUCCCCGGGCUUAACCUGGGAACUGCGCUUGUUACUGGCAGACUUGAGUGUGGCAGAGGGGGGUGGAAUUCCAGGUGUAGCAGUGAAAUGCGUAGAUAUCUGGAGGAACACCGAUGGCGAAGGCAGCCCCCUGGGCUAACACUGACGCUGAUGCACGAAAGCGUGGGGAGCAAACAGG